CCUACGGGAGGCAGCAGUGGGGAAUAUUGGGCAAUGGGCGCAAGCCUGACCCAGCAACGCCGCGUGAAGGAAGAAGGCUUUCGGGUUGUAAACUUCUUUUAAGAGGGAAGAGCAGCCGACGGUACCUCUUGAAUAAGCCUCGGCUAACUACGUGCCAGCAGCCGCGGUAAGACGGAGGAGGCGAGCGUUAUCCGGAAUGACUGGGCGUAAAGGGUGCGUAGGUGGUUUGACAAGUUGAUAGCGUAACUCCGAGGCGCAACCUCGGCACUACUACCAAAACUGGCGGACUUGAGUGCAGGAGGGGCAAGUGGAAUUCCUGGUGUAGCGGUGGAAUGCGCAGAUAUUAGGAGGAACACCGGUGGCGAAGGCGAAUUGCUGGACUGUAACUGACACUGAGGCACGAAAGCGUGGGGAGCAAACAGGAUUAGAUACCCUUGUAGUC
rnacentral:rRNA from 1 species